AGACGGGGGUGCUUCUGGGUG
rnacentral:misc_RNA from 1 species